rnacentral:misc_RNA from 1 species
CUUAUCAUUUAGAGGAAGGAGAAGUCGUAACAAGGUUUCCGUAGGUGAACCUGCGGAAGGAUCAUUGUCGAUGCCUCAAGCAAUCCGACUCGUGAACAUGUUUGCUUACUUGGGGUUGGUUUGGAGUGUGAAAACACGACUGCCUCCCCCGGUGAGGAGGCGGCCACGCUUUGUGGCUGUCUCUUAGCCUUCAACAAACCCACGGCGCUACAUGCGCCAAGGAAAUCUAAUUCGUUCAAUGAGCUCCUGCCAGCCCGGAAACGGUGCUGCGCGGGUGGCUUUGUGAUCUAUUAUUCAAAAUGACUCUCGGCAACGGAUAUCUCGGCUCUUGCAUCGAUGAAGAACGUAGCGAAAUGCGAUACUUGGUGUGAAUUGCAGAAUCCCGUGAACCAUCGAGUCUUUGAACGCAAGUUGCGCCCGAAGCCAUUAGGUUGAGGGCACGCCUGCCUGGGUGUCACACAUCGUUGCUCCAAUGCCAACGUCUCCUUUUGGGGUCGUUGGGGAGUGUAUGUUGGCUUCCCAUGAGCUUUGUCUCAUGGUUGGUUGAAAAUCAAGUCUGUGGUGGGAGUGCACCGCGAUUAUUUGGUGGUUGAGUAAAAGCUCGAAACCAAUCGUGCGUGGCUCUUGCAAGGUUUCAGACUUUGUGACCCAUAUGCAUCCUUGAUGCUCAUAACGAGACCUCAGGUCAGGCGGGGCUACCCGCUGAGUUUAAGCAUAU